GUGCAAGCGGGAGGGGGCAGGGAUCUCUCAGCUGGGAAGGGAGGCUUCACGCUGCCUGAGAGAUCCCUGCCCCCUCCUGCUUGCAUGCAAGCUCCAUUAGGCAGCAUGACGCCUCCCUUCACAGCUGAGAGAUCCCUGCCCCGCUCCUGCUUGCAC